AACGCAACUUGCGCCUUUUACGAGGCAUGUUUGUUUGAGUGCCGCAAUCCUCUGCAGCAAUGCGAUUUGAUUCGUGUCUUUGUUGACCGAGUUUAAACAAAGCUAGAGGAUGGUCAGUUUGACCUAGUCCGAGUGCUAAGCAUUCUUGGGCCUAGGCUGGAUUGAUCAUUAAAUCUAUCUUUAUUUUUGGCCUCAAAUCAAGCAAGACUACCCGCUGAACUUAA
rnacentral:misc_RNA from 1 species